GCCAUGCUAGUUGUACGAGUUCAGACUCGUAGCAGAUAGCUCAGUAACACGUGGCCAAACUACCCUAUGGAUCCGGACAACCUCGGGAAACUGAGGCUAAUCCGGAAUACGACUCUCAGCCUGGAAGUGGCGAGAGUCAGAAACGCCCUGGCGCCAUAGGAUGUGGCUGCGGCCGAUUAGGUAGACGGUGGGGUAACGGCCCACCGUGCCCAUAAUCGGUACGGGUUGUGAGAGCAAGAGCCCGGAGACGGUAUCUGAGACAAGAUACCGGGCCCUACGGGGCGCAGCAGGCGCGAAACCUUUACACUGCACGAAAGUGCGAUAAGGGGACUCCAAGUGCGAGGGCAUAUAGUCCUCGCUUUUCACUACCGUAAGGAGGUAGUAGAAUAAGUGCUGGGCAAGACCGGUGCCAGCCGCCGCGGUAAUACCGGCAGCACGAGUGAUGACCGCUCUUAUUGGGCCUAAAGCGUCCGUAGCUGGCCACGCAAGUCUAUCGGGAAAUCCGCGCGCUCAACGCGCGGGCGUCCGGUGGAAACUGUGUGGCUUGGGACCGGAAGAUCCAGAGGGUACGUCUGGGGUAGGAGUGAAAUCCCGUAAUCCUGGACGGACCACCGGUGGCGAAAGCGCUCUGGAAAGACGGAUCCGACGGUGAGGGACGAAAGCUCGGGUCACGAACCGGAUUAGAUACCCGGGUAGUCCGAGCUGUAAACGAUGUCUGCUAGAUGUGCCACAGGCUACGAGCCUGUGGUGUGUCGUAGGGAAGCCGUGAAGCAGACCGCCUGGGAAGUACGUCCGCAAGGAUGAACUUAA
rnacentral:rRNA from 1 species